GACCGGCGGCGCCUUGCAACCGGUUUGGCACAGAUUUCCCCUCUCGAGCAGGACAGAUACAAAGUAUAGACAGUAUCCCAGGGCUCCUCAGAAUCUUUGAUUCUUGUGCGAUUAAACGAAGAUGAAGGUCUAUAAUGGUUAUACCACAAGAAACCCACGAAGGAAUACACCUGUUUUCCUUCCCGUUACUGUGACACCAGAAGCCAUAUCAUGCGGAGUAUACAUCUAACUGAUAAACCCGGAGGGUAUGACGGGGUCACCAUAACAUUACUACAGAUCACAUCACGGGGAGACAAACUUCAAGGUUCCUGAGGCUGCUCCUCCUUCUGAGUCCUGAGGCUCCUCCUCCUUCUGAGUCCUGAGGCUGCUCCUCCUUCUGAGUCCUGAGGCUGCUCCUCCUUCUGAGUCCUGAGGCUCCUCCUCCUUCUGAGUCCCAAAACUGCACCUCCCUCCUCCCUGCUCCCAUGCCCUCCCUCUGAGUCUCGAGGCUCCUCCUCCUUCUGAGUCCUGAGGCUGCUCCUCCUUCUGAGUCCUGAGGCUGCUCCUCCCGGCUCCCAUGCCACCCCCGGGUGCAGUGAUGAUGAUGAUGAUGAGGGGUCUUACCUGAUGAAGGGUCUGGAGAUGGCCAGGAUUGUACGGAUGAACCAGGAUGGGUAUGGUCUGAUGACAGCCAUGUCUAUCCUCUGUUCCUGGUCUCCUAUGAUCACUGUCCUCCACAGUCUGCCUGCCUCCUCCUCCUCCUCUGUCUGGCCUCCAGGCAGACCCUUGGAACUCACUAUAGGAGUGUCGUCUGAAAACCACGAGGUCGUUGCCGUUGGUGAUAAACUCCAAGGAGUCGUUGUCGUCGGGCGUGUCCAUGUCGUCCACGUUGACAUCCAGGUCGUCAGGGUUACCUAAGAAGUCAUCUGACAGGACGGAACC